ensembl:lncRNA
GAUGAGGUACUCCUCACCAGUGUAUUCUUCUCCAUAAAAAUUAACGCUGUAACAGGACGCCAAAGGGCUUCAGCUAAUGUGCUUUUGAAUGAGGACUAAAUUUUAUUCAUAAGCAUCAGUGUCAGGACUAAAAUAACAUUUUUAUGGACACUGCAAGCAUAAACAGCAGUGCUGACUGAAACAGGACUGCCGCUGAAUUGACUUGUUUCCCUCCGCGUGGCUGCUCAGACAGCAGGGGACUGGGAACCAGAGACCCUGGCCGUGGGUCUCUCUUCUGGUCUCUCCUGUUUUGUGACAUUGGGGGCAAAUUAACUAAAAAUGAAAAUGAAAACAAAGCACUCCCCCUAACCUUCAGCCUCAUCGUCUGUAAAGUGGGGUAAUAAUACAACUGACCUCCCAGAGAUAUUGUUACUAUUAAGCUCAUUUAUUCAUUCAUCCAUAAUGCCAGUUUCCAGGCUUGGUUCUGGGCACAUGGAAGUAAUCAAAACAGAAACAACUGCUUGUGUGGAACUUACAUCCCAGUGGGAGAAGACAGACACUAGGAAAUGAAUAAUUACGUUGGAUGCCACGUUAGGGAGAGAACAGGAGACUGAGCCCUGGAACGUGAAGAUUUUGCCCAAUAUCACACAGCCUGAAAAUGACGAUGAAACUCAAGCAUCCGCCUCCAGAGACUGUGUGAUGACUCUCGACUAUCCAUAGCCCUUCGAGGAGCUCGAUCACUUGUGGGCACACAGCAGGGACCUAAUCAAGAGACACUAGCCCUAACCUUUCUCUGAAGGCAAACCCUCUCCUCAGUGCCCCUGCACACUGAUCCUCUUCCCACAUCUAGGUCUUUGCGAAGAAGGGGCUCCCUGCCUGAAAUACCUUUCCUGUUUCUCUCCUCACCACAAUACCCUCCAUGUUUAUCAAGGCCAGAGGGAAGAUCUACUUCCUCCAGGAAGCCGACAGGGAUCACAACGGGACAAAUGGGUUAAUCUUAAACUCCAAAUAUUCUAUCUGUAGUGAAAGUAUGUUUUUUGUUUUAUUGCCUGCCUAUGUCAUUAAUCACUCCUUCUGGAAAUAACCUCCAAUUUUCUUCUGAGGGAGCCAGCACAUCCAAAUUAUCAGUCCAGGUGAUUUAUCUGAAGCUCAACUCCAACCCCAGGCUCCAAGAAUGAGAUACCACCCAACCUGGGCCAACUACCGUACCUCAGGAUGUUCGUUAAACCUAUGUUGGGAAAUAGACACAAUUUUUAUUCUGGGGUGGACAAGCUGGUAGGGUGUAGACCCUGGAGAUGCCUGUGCCCAUCUUUUCCCUUACUGAGGAGAGACUGGUUAAGAAUCAAGAAUAAAACAAAAGGAGAUAUAUACCCAAUGGCAUUAUUUGAACUCCUUGAUCCAGCCAUAUCUGAAUCAGUUAAGUGUUCUAAUACAUGUAUUCUUUUCUCCUGAAGCCAUUUUGAGUUGAGUUUCUACCACUUGCAACUAAAAGACUCUUAAUGCACACACAUUCUUCAACAUUUUAGCCCUGCAGACUCACCCUUUCGUAAUUUUCUAUUACAAAGAAUGUAUUCUAUUACCCCAGAGAUCUUAUAGGCUCCUUAAGGACAGCAGCAGAUUCCUUUUCUAAGGGACCAAGAACUUAUAAGAGAGUUCAG